rnacentral:tRNA from 1 species
GGGGAUUUGGCUCAGUGGUAGAGCGCUUGCCUAGCAAGCACAAGGCCCUGGGUUCGGUUCCCAGCUCCCA